rnacentral:rRNA from 1 species
GACGAACGCUGGCGGCGUGCUUAACACAUGCAAGUCGAGCGAUGAAGCACCUUCGGGUGUGAAUUAGCGGCGAACGGGUGAGGAACACGUGAGAAAUCUGCCUUCAACUCUGGGAUAACUCCGGGAAACCGGGGCUAAUACCGGAUAUGAGCCUUGAUCGCAUGAUCGGGGCUGGAAAGUUUUUCGGUUGAAGAUGAUCUCGCGGCCUAUCAGCUUGUUGGUGAGGUAAUGGCUCACCAAGGCGACGACGGGUAGCCGGCCUGAGAGGGCGACCGGCCACACUGGGACUGAGACACGGCCCAGACUCCUACGGGAGGCAGCAGUGGGGAAUAUUGGGCAAUGGAGGAAACUCUGACCCAGCGACGCCGCGUGAGGGAUGAAGGCCUUCGGGUUGUAAACCUCUUUCAGUAGGGAAGAAGCGAAAGUGACGGUACCUACAGAAGAAGCACCGGCUAACUAUGUGCCAGCAGCCGCAGUAA